rnacentral:lncRNA from 1 species
UGCAACACAACAAAAAAAAAUAAUUAUUAUUCGGAACGACAAUAUCAAAUUUAUAAUUUAAGAUGGUAUGUAUAACAUCCCACAUCGCUUAGAUAAACUGUAUUUGAAAUCUUUUUAAGCACAAACAAAUAAUUAAUGGUGGUGUUUGGCUACGGCUUUUAAGCCGACUUCUGGGCUUAUAAGUUGGAAGCACUUAUUUCGUACUGUUUGUGUAAUAAGUCAAGAAGCACUUAUAAAAAGCUAGGAAUGCUAGCUUUUGUUUCAGGACUUCUGCUUAUUUGCCAAACACUUUAAUCACUUAUAAGUCUUGUCUGGCUUCUAACUUCUACUCCACUUAUUUAUUUUAAGCAAGAAGCACUUAUUUUAAGCUCAGCCAAACGGCCCCAAUAUAUACUAAUUUACUAGCGUUUUUGGACCGACUUACGAUGAGUUUUUAGGUCCGGUAUGCAUCUAGUACCGGUAUUUUACCUGUUACAAUCGGUGGUGGGGCUGAUUUUGUAAGGAAUGUUGACACCACAUCUAGCAGGGAGGCCAGCAGCAGCGUUCAAGUUGAGGCCAGUGACGGCAUUAGCAGUUUGCUUGAGGCAGCCGCAAGCGGUGCGCUUGUCGAGUGUGGUCCGUGCAGCGUUAUUGAGUCCCCUCACACCAUUGCAACAGGUUAGCGGGACUGGAACGUUUACCUGGCUCCUCAGGUAACCCAGGCACGGGGCCAGGGCUCCAGUCACCUGCCCGC